rnacentral:lncRNA from 1 species
CGAUUCUAUAAAAUUAAAAAAAAAAAAAAUUUUGUUUUAUAUUGGAAAAAAAAAUAUAUUAAAUAAUAUGAUAUCACUUGAUAUAAAAGAAGUUGUAAUGUUAUUGAAAGUAGGUUUAGCGAUAGAUAAUGUAUAUGAAAGGAAAGUUACGGCGUGUAGUGACGGUAGUGACAGUAAUGGCAGUAAUGGAAAUAAUGGCAGUAAUGGAAGUAAUGACAGUAAUGGAAGUAAUGGCAGUAAUGGAAGUAAUGGCAGUAAUGGAAGUAAUGACAGUAAUGGCAGUAAUGGAAGUAAUGGAAGUAAUGGAAGUAGUGGUAAUAAAUACCAUACUAAUAGGCAAAACAACCAUAACAACCGUGACAACCCUGACAAGCAACUAACAUAUGACUCUAUCUCCAAAUACGUUCAAUGUAAAAUAAAAAACAUGCUCAAUCGUAUUUUUAUCACAUUUAAUGAGAAAAAAAAAACAAAUCUAUUAAAACAAUUAAUUAUUAAUGCAUGUUGUGGUAAGACAUGUAUUUAUUUCAAUAAGUCUUUACCCAAAUUUUGGAAUUGUAAAAAAAACAUAAACAACAAUUUUUUAAAACCUGAAAAAUUAAAUGUAGAACUUUUAGUUAUAUUUUAUAUGCCAGCAAUAUUAUAUGUUCAUAAUAUACAGGAUGAAAAAUAUGUUUAUAAUAUAUUAAAGUUAUGUAUGUACAUAUUUUUAUUUUAUAUAAAUCGGAUAAAAUGUUUAUCUUCAGUUAUACCGUUUAUUAUGCCUUCGAGUGAUGUAGUAGAUAUAAUAAAUAAAGACAAUUCCAAAAAUAAUGACGAUUUUCUUAUAAAAUAUUUAAAUACAGCAUGUACAACUUAUUUAAACUCGAUACCUGAUGAAAACAUGUUUCAAUAUAAAGAAAUAAAAAAUAAUUUAAAUAUUUUAACAAAAAAUAAAUUAAACAAUUUAUAUAAAUGUGCCAUGGAGAUUAUUUCUAUUGUAUUACAUAUGUGUGUUAUAUAUAAAAAAAAAGAAAUGAUAAAUUUUGUAUAUAUACAUUUUGGUUUGACAAAUAAUUUUGAUUUGACAAAUAAUUUUGGUUUGACAAAUAAUUUUGGUUUGACAAAUAAUUUUGGUUUAAAUGUGAAGGAUGCCUUACUUUUCAAAUGUUAUAUAGAUCACUACGUUGAAAUAUAUAGACUGUUUUUGUAUAAUAAUAAAUAUUAUCAUGAAGGUAAUAAAGACAAUAAUAAUAAUAAUAAUAANNNNNNNNNNAAUAAUAAUAAUAAUAAUAAGUUGGAGGAAAAAUAUUCCUUUUUUAAAUAUAUAAAAACAGUGUUUAAUAUAUGUAUUGGUGAUAUGAUUGAAGAGAAUGGUGCAGAUUUAUCCGAGAUUUUAUUUUUUUUAUUUGAUUAUUUAUAUUUUACAAAAUGCAAUAUGAAAAAAAAUGAGUCAUAUAAUAAUAUUAAACAAACAUAUUCGAUUGAAAGUUAUGAAAAUAGUAAAGUAGCGAAAGGAUAUGAUUUAAAUUUGUCCGACGAUAUUAAUUGUGGGGGCACUACCAAUACCCAUAGCAGUAACAAUAACAACGUAAUGUACAUACUGGAUGGAUUAUAUUUGAAUGGAGAUAGGAGUAAAACAAUAUAUCACGAGAGUAGCAGUAAUAGUAGUAGUAAUAAUAGUAGUAAUAGUAGUAGUAGUAAUAGUAGUAGUAGUAGUAGUGUUGGUUCGAAUGCGACCAUAACUAUCAGUGUAAAAAAUAGUAAUAUUACCACUACGGCUACCAGUACCAGAACCAUUAAAAAAGAAAAGUUAAAAUACAAAUGGGAAACAUUGAAGCAUGUAACUGUAGAAGGUUAUAACAGUGGUACUAUAAAAUUAAUAAAUUUAAAAAAUAUAAUUUUACUAAAUUAUGAUAAAGAAUUAUCAAACAACGUAACUAUUAGUAGAAAUAAGUUUUAUUUAUAUACUCAUUUAUUUUAUUCACUUUUUCAAUGUUUUACAUUAUUUUAUGAUAUAAUUUGGUAUAUUCGAGAAGAACAUAUUAUGUAUGGUAAAAAAAAGGUAGAAGAUACAUAUAACAUAUGUUUAGAAAAAUUGUAUUAUAAUUUUUAUAGUAACUUAUCUAUUAAACACGAUUCAAAUUAUUUAUGUAUUUAUUUUUAUUUUAUUUAUAUUACUAACAUUUAUAAUAAAAUAUAUUCACUUUUAUAUAAUAUUGAUACAAAUAGUUUGUAUGAAAAUUCGAGUUAUAAUAAUAUAUUUUUUAAACAAAAAAAAAAAGUUUUAAAUAAAUAUACAGAUAUGUUAUUACUUUUUUUUUAUAAUCUUUAUAAUUAUUAUUAUUAUAUGAAUAUAAGUAAGAACUAUAUUUCUAUAACUAACUUUUUUUUUCUUCUUAAUAAAAAAGGAAUAAAUUUAAAACAUUCUUUACCUUAUGUAUUGGUACGGAAUAAUAAUAAAGAGGAAACAGAGAAAGUAAAUUUAUUUUUGUAUAACACAAAGCGUAAUAAUGAUUCUGUUUUUAUUAAUGGGUAUGUCAAUGAUGGUUGUGGUGUGACUGCUACAAAUGAUGGUGGGGAUAGUGAUAAAAAAUGCAAAACGAAAUAUAAUUGGGAAUAUAUUAGCAUAGUUAAUCCUAUGUGCACAUUAUUAUUAAAUAUACCAAUAGAAGAGACAUUAAACAAACAUUUUAAUAUUUUAGAACUGUGUAUGUUAAAGGGUAUAAAAAAAGUAGCCAAUUUUUUUAUUAAUAAGUUAGAAUAUAUAUACAAUAACAAAAGAUAUGUUAAUGACGUGUUAAGAAGAAAUAUAAAAAUAGUUAAACACGUGUUUUGUGAUGCGGAUAGUGUAAAUGUUGAUGUGAGUGGUAGUGUUAAUAACGUUUCUAAUAAUAAUGAAAAAAAAAUUCUUCUUAAAGAAAUAGUGUCAAUAAAUAUGUUAUUAUGUUUACGUUUACUUUACCUUUUAAUUAAAAUAUUAAAAUAUUUUUUAAACGUUGAAAAAAAUAAUACAAAUAAUAAUAAAGAAUCUGUUAAACAUAAUUUUACUUUUUUAAUAUGUCAUAAAUAUAUUAUUAUUACCAGUUUAAUGAAAAUAAUUGUAUCAGCCCCUUUCGCAUUAAUAAGAUAUCUUUGUGCGUCUAUUUUUUAUAUACUGUCAUUUUUUGACUAUAAUUCUUUUAUUUCGAUUCCGAUUAUUCAAGACGUAAGUGAUCAGCAUUGUGAUUAGUUUUUUUUUUUUUUUUUUUUUUUUUUUU